rnacentral:rRNA from 1 species
GACGAACGCUGGCGGCGUGCCUAAUACAUGCAAGUAGAACGCUGAAGGAGGAGCUUGCUCUUCUGGAUGAGUUGCGAACGGGUGAGUAACGCGUAGGUAACCUGCCUGGUAGCGGGGGAUAACUAUUGGAAACGAUAGCUAAUACCGCAUAAGAGUAGAUGUUGCAUGACAUUUGCUUAAAAGGUGCAAUUGCAUCACUACCAGAUGGACCUGCGUUGUAUUAGCUAGUUGGUGGGGUAACGGCUCACCAAGGCGACGAUACAUAGCCGACCUGAGAGGGUGAUCGGCCACACUGGGACUGAGACACGGCCCAGACUCCUACGGGAGGCAGCAGUAGGGAAUCUUCGGCAAUGGACGGAAGUCUGACCGAGCAACGCCGCGUGAGUGAAGAAGGUUUUCGGAUCGUAAAGCUCUGUUGUAAGAGAAGAACGAGUGUGGGAGUGGAAAGUUCACACUGUGACGGUAUCUUACCAGAAAGGGACGGCUAACUACGUG